rnacentral:rRNA from 1 species
AUGAGGAGGUUUUUGGUUAGCAGAGCAAGCACUAAAAAUAUGAAUGAUGUGCAACUAGAAAUAGAAGUGGAGGAACAACCACCUCCCAACAUUGCCAAUGAAUUUAAUCCAAAUGAAAUUGAGCGUGAUCCAGGAAAGAGGAAACAAAUUUGCGAGUAUCCUCCUAAUAUAAAGGAUCAAGGGAGAAGAUCAUAUGUAUUGAUGGGUCCAAUGCAACCAGAUUUGAAUAAAUUUCCUUGUACUGAAUUUGGAAGUUCACGUUCAUCAAGAGCAUUUUCCAAAUCUUGGUACAAAAAACAUUCAUGGAUCGAAUACAGUGAGUGGAAGAAGGGAGUGUAUUUUUAUUGCUUUCUCUUUAAGCAACCUAGAAGGGCUGAGCACUUUGGUUAUGAUGUAUUCACCAAGGAAGGAUUUAUAGAUUGGAAGCAUGCAUAA